CUUCUUCGGGAAAACGUACGUUAUCAACACUAAGCUUUCUUCACACAUUGAGCACAGCCGUCUCUUUCUUCACCUUCCACAGCUCUAAGCCUCUAUUUUUUCUCUCAGAGUCCUAAUGACAGAUGAUGCUGAUGCUAACACUAUAGCAACAGCAGAUAGUCCAUUUGCAAAGCUUCCGGAUCAUCUCCUGAUAGAAAUUUUUGUCCGUGUCCCCCACUCAGAGUGGGCACAAAUUUCUUCUGUUUCAAAGCUGUGGGCCAAACAAUUUCGGGAAGAAAGCCUGUGGCAAACUGCUCUUGUCAGAAGUUUUCCCUUGGCAAGCCAGGCCAAAAGGUGGCCAGGACCUAUCCCUAGAGGGUUGAGCAAAAGGAGAUAUGCAGCACUAUGUGUCAGCAAGCACAUCUUCACACUUGAUGGUGAGAUGGAUGAGAUUGUGGGCCACACAUACUUGUUUUUGAAAGAGCAGCUUCAGCUUUCAACUAUGGCACCUUCUUCUGGAAUCCUUCAUGGAACCAUAAUUGAAACCCGAAUGUCCUUAAGAACUCCUAUCUGGGAAUGACUUUGCAUUUUAGCAGAUCAGUUUAUUGCCUGUGGUAAAUCAAGGGAUGUGGCCCAUGAGCUUGCUUCGCAGAUCUGGCUGGCUGUUCUUGACAAUUUGGAGGAAAAUCACUACACAUUUCUCUUACUAAAACGAUUCGCACAAGAGGGAGAUGUUUUUCUUCCAUAUCCGUACUCAAGAUCGAUUAAAGUCCAGUGGAGGGUGUUUGAGAAGCUCUUCACAGAUUUUCGUGACUGCUUGAGCCAUGCAGACUACUAUGAUGUAUUAGCAAUUGCCAAGACCAAGUUUCAGCCGAUACCAUCUGCUUGGUUAGGUUACUAGUCCACUUCAACUUAGCGGGCCAGAACCAUGUAAGUCUUUGUAUAAAUCAAUAUAAACUCUUACUCCAAACUGUUUGGUAGCACAUUGAUAUGAAGAUCUCUAUACCCUGCUUUACAAAAAAAAAGAAAAAAAAAAAGGCCUGUAAAUUUUCUACCCAGAAUUGCUGUUCGGCUUUAAGAAGAUACCCAAGAUUAGUCCUUUAAAUGUGAUAAAACUUAUACAUUGUAGAUUUCCCUCUUUCCUUUUGUUCAAGGUUUUAGAGUAGAACCUCAAACUCUUGCCAUAUCUUGGUUGCUUCAGAAAUUUAACUAUUUGUCAGCUCUUGCUUAUGUAACUUUGAAACAGUUUCUUUUGUUUCAACAUCUCUCACAUUUGUGAAAAACGAGCACAUAAUAAUCAAAUCAAUUGAUAAUUCUAUCA